GGGUGUGAGGGCGAUCUGGCUGUGACAUCUGUCACCCCAUUGAUUGCCAGGGUUGAUUCAGCUUAUCUGGCUGGCUAGGUGGGUGUCUCCUUCCUUCCCCACUGUGCUAUGUGAGUCCCUUCAGAAGCUGUGCGCUGGGUCAAAGAGGAUGGCCUUCCCCAAAUAGAGACAGACCGGUCUUCGGUCGAGGGUAUAUGAGUAGCUGUGCUCCCCUGCUAGAACCUCUAAACAAGCUCUCAAACUGUAGGCUCUGUCCUUGGUAAAAGAUUAUAUGGAAGCUCCACAGAACCAAGGGUUCCCUUGUAUGGAUUGACAU
rnacentral:snRNA from 1 species